ensembl:lncRNA
AAUUAACUUCCAGCAGCUAAUGGAUGCUCUAGUUUUGUGUUGUUGUUGUUGUUGUUUUUUUAAUGUUGUUUGUUUUUCUGAAGGGAACACUGAAGUAUUUCUGUCAGAAGACCUCCCUCUGGGUUCUCAAAAUCAUACAGCUAUGAAUAUUAUAAGAGAACGCGAUGAAAUGAACACAAGCAAGCCCCGAGCCCUGCCGUUCUGGGGCUGUACUCCACACAGCAGAAGCGGGAGGGGCCGCGGAGUGGGGAUACCCCAACGGCGGGUGACUCAGCUCUCUGGUGAUCGGGGAGCCGACGGCACCUAGAGAACUGAUUCAGCAGCUAUAAACAGACACUGACUAACAUUUGUGUCUUUUCCGGGAGGAAGAGAGGUCACAGCAAGGCCUCAAGAUAAGCUGAUAAGAAACAGCCACCUGACGUUCAAAGCUCCUCCUAACGCGCU